rnacentral:lncRNA from 1 species
UCUGCAGCCAGGACACAUCUUGGGCAAAACUGCCUCGUAAGCAAACUGUUGUCUCCUGCUUUGCAAGCUCACUCCUUCUGAAGAAGCUGACAAUUAUCCAACAUCCCAUUGCCAGCUGGCUUCAGCCAAUAGAAUUGCGGCAUACAAAUAGAGCAUCUGCAGCUACUCUGGGUCAGGCUAUACUGCAAAGUAGGAGGAAUUUCCUCUAAGAGGGGGAAAUUCAGCUCUUAGAUGGGGGAAAAUGAAAAAAAAAAUCAAAUAUAUAUAUUUUUUAUGUUGGAGGCAUUUCUGCUGCUCCUUGGCAGGAAGGAAAGAAGGAGAAUGUUAACGGGUAUUCUUUCUUCCAAAGUGCACCGCGUAUAGGAAGGACGCGAGCAUCAAUAUUUCAUCCUUGCUUCGCCUGCCAGCAUCCCGCUCCCUCCUCCCUGCUUCUCACCGGCUCUAGGACCCGGAGAGCUGGGCCACGCUGGCCUGACCCAGGGCGUCAUCACAGAUGUCCACGCUGCCUUCAGCUUGCCCGCCGUGCCAUCGUGGACUCCAGAGUCUGCGCAAGAAGCCGCCCUUCUGAACCAGGUGUCGUUGGUUUUUUCCCACCUCCCAGGCCUAGACAGGUGGAUAAAGGAAGCAGCGUGGGUGUUCAGGAGCACACAUCCCUCCGGCCAGCCCCCAGCCCAUCUCAUCUCGUCCACUUGAGGUCACAGAGGAAUGCGCUGUGCUCUGCCAGGGGGGUCCUGGCAGAGUGUGGAGCUGGGAUGGAAGCAGUUACUCUCAGGAGGACUUUGGGCAGACUGUGGUCCUUUCUCAGGCUGGUGGCCAGCUCUUCAUUUCUGUGUUGGGACUGGGGUUGAGGGUGCCUGCUGAGAUUCAGAAAAGGGACGGUCUUCCCAGGUCUGUGUGGUGUCUGGUGGGCCGGCUCAGGACACCAGGAGGUGGCUGGCUGGGGACCAGUGCUUCCUCCUGGUCCCUCUUCUGCACCUCUCUGGCUCUCUGUCUCUGGCAUCUUCACCUCUAGCUCUGUGGCUCUGCUGCCUGCUUCCUUCAGUCCCUUCUGGACCUGCCUUCUCACUGGCAUGGCUGAAGAUGGGGCCCCGCUACUCUUUCG